GACGUAACGCCUGGGCGGCGUGCCUAACACAUGCAAGUCGAGCGAGUGAAGUUCCUUACGGGAACGGAUUAGCGGCGAACGGGUGAGUAACACGUGGGCAACCUGCCUUAUAGAGGGGAAUAGCCUUCCGAAAGGAAGAUUAAUACCACAUAAGAUUGUAGCUUCGCAUGAAGUAGCAAUUAAAGGAGCAAUCCGCUAUAAGAUGGGCCCGCGGCGCAUUAGCUAGUUGGUGAGGUAACGGCUCACCAAGGCGACGAUGCGUAGCCGACCUGAGAGGGUGAUCGGCCACAUUGGGACUGAGACACGGCCCAG
rnacentral:rRNA from 1 species